rnacentral:rRNA from 1 species
GGGUUGUGAGGUUAAGCGACUAAGCGUACACGGUGGAUGCCCUGGCAGUCAGAGGCGAUGAAGGACGUGCUAAUCUGCGAUAAGCGUCGGUAAGGUGAUAUGAACCGUUAUAACCGGCGAUUUCCGAAUGGGGAAACCCAGUGUGAUUCGUCACACUAUCAUUAACUGAAUCCAUAGGUUAAUGAGGCGAACCGGGGGAACUGAAACAUCUAAGUACCCCGAGGAAAAGAAAUCAACCGAGAUUCCCCCAGUAGCGGCGAGCGAACGGGGAGGAGCCCAGAGCCUGAAUCAGUGUGUGUGUUAGUGGAAGCGUCUGGAAAGGCGCGCGAUACAGGGUGACAGCCCCGUACACAAAAAUGCACAUGCUGUGAGCUCGAUGAGUAGGGCGGGACACGUGGUAUCCUGUCUGAAUAUGGGGGGACCAUCCUCCAAGGCUAAAUACUCCUGACUGACCGAUAGUGAACCAGUACCGUGAGGGAAAGGCGAAAAGAACCCCGGCGAGGGGAGUGAAAAAGAACCUGAAACCGUGUACGUACAAGCAGUGGGAGCACGCUUCGGCGUGUGACUGCGUACCUUUUGUAUAAUGGGUCAGCGACUUAUAUUCUGUAGCAAGGUUAACCGAAUAGGGGAGCCGAAGGGAAACCGAGUCUUAACUGGGCGUUAAGUUGCAGGGUAUAGACCCGAAACCCGGUGAUCUAGCCAUGGGCAGGUUGAAGGUUGGGUAACACUAACUGGAGGACCGAACCGACUAAUGUUGAAAAAUUAGCGGAUGACUUGUGGCUGGGGGUGAAAGGCCAAUCAAACCGGGAGAUAGCUGGUUCUCCCCGAAAGCUAUUUAGGUAGCGCCUCGUGAAUUCAUCUCCGGGGGUAGAGCACUGUUUCGGCAAGGGGGUCAUCCCGACUUACCAACCCGAUGCAAACUGCGAAUACCGGAGAAUGUUAUCACGGGAGACACACGGCGGGUGCUAACGUCCGUCGUGAAGAGGGAAACAACCCAGACCGCCAGCUAAGGUCCCAAAGUCAUGGUUAAGUGGGAAACGAUGUGGGAAGGCCCAGACAGCCAGGAUGUUGGCUUAGAAGCAGCCAUCAUUUAAAGAAAGCGUAAUAGCUCACUGGUCGAGUCGGCCUGCGCGGAAGAUGUAACGGGGCUAAACCAUGCACCGAAGCUGCGGCAGCGACACUAUGUGUUGUUGGGUAGGGGAGCGUUCUGUAAGCCUG